GGGAAGCCAUGAGCUGCCACAUCACGCCCGGAAGGAAGCGGGCUGCGUUGGAGGGUUCAAAUUUUCAACAGUGGCCGGAUCCCUCUAAUCCACAGUGGUGGAGCACUGUGAUUGACAUUCAGCGCAAAGCUCUUGCUGGGAAAUGCGGUGACCGAGCCGUCAGCACAGGCGGCAGCUGCCUCCCACACUUAAGACAGGACUUCUAAAGCCACAGUCCCUGUGUGAGCCUCCUGGAGCUCACAGUCCCUCAAACGGCAGGCAGUUGAAGAGAUGAAGGCGCAGAGGCAUGAACUCCCGUAGCCAGAGAGUGUGAGCUGGACUCUACCUGGAGCAGCCUCGGUGCAGAGCCCAUGCCCCCAACCAUGUCCGUGGUCAAGGCCCAGCCCAGACAGGGCACAAAGGGGCUGAGGAAGAGGAAGUAAGAUGCCAGGGUUGCCAUGCAGGAGGGCAACCCCGAGUGAGAUGGGCAUCGUGGCCUAGGGCCCACCUUCCGGAAGAGCUCAUCAGAACUUCGGACACACUGCAUGGGCCUAGACCCAGGGCUCGUUGAGCUCCUCCCUCGGAUUGGCUUCGAAUUUUAGGUGAAUCCUCUCUAGCGGCCACAUUCACCCUUGCAAGCCUGCACUUUGUCAUCUUCUGAAAAGGUGCAGGAACAUGAUGCCCAGCUGACUCCCAGGGAGCGGGGGCCCCAGAGGCCAGCGGAGCACAGCCGCAGCAGGCAGAUCUGUUGGGAAACCACGGGAGUAUAGGAGCAGGGCUGGGGGCACCUGAGGGCCUGUGGAGCCUGAAUUAUUGAAACGCUUAGAGUAAAGCAGAUUUAGAUUUCACAAAGACAGAGGUGAAGGUGGGUGAAGACGGAGGGAAGGAUUUAAAGAGAAAGAGAAAGAGGAAAGAUAAGAAUGAGGGAGAAAGAGGAAGAGAGAAAGAAAAAGAGAAAUAGAGUUAUCAAAGAUGACUGCAAGUCUGGCCUCUCUCAACCCAAGGAGCCAAGGAGGGGAAGGCCGGCCUGAGCAGCAACGUAGACAAGAGCUCAGGAGCUCAGGCGGGCAGGGACAGAGCCCUGGCUUCAGCAAGAGCGUGGGGAACAGAGGGCAAGGGGGUCCAUGCAGCCCAGGAUGGCAGGGUGCUCAUACACCCAGCCUUGGUCCUGUCCCCUCUCCCAUUGCCGCUUUUGAGCUCACCUUGUUUAAGGCCAAAGCACACACCAUCCUCCCACAGAGCCACUAAUGCAAUUAACAAAACACAUUCAUAAAUCUUGCAUGGCGUCCGGAGCUGUCUCCUCUCCCUAAGCACAAAGGCCAGCUCCAGAGAUGCUGUGCAGAGAGCUGUCUGACCUCUCCAGCGUCAGGGCCCCCUGAAAAGCGCAGCAUAACCCUUAGUAGGACAGAAAGACCAUUCUCUUCUGCCAACCAUUACAAAGUGGAGUGGGGCUGGGGUUAGGAAACACAGACAAAUCAGAAGAGGCUGAGAAGGCGGAGAUGAAAGUGCAUAGGUGUUUGCAGGGAGCUGGGGAAUAGUUCGUGCCUUCCAAGCUCAACAAGAGAGCAUUCAGCAGAGACCAGAGAAUCACCACUUUUGGAGGGUGAUUUUACCCUGUGAGAACAGAGCACAGGGUGUGUGGGACCCAGGGCAUCUUCGGCAAUGCAGGCGUGACUUGGCGGGAUGCCGGUGUUUGUGUUUGCAUGUGUGUGUGCGUGCGUGCAUGCUCAGUCUGGAAAACUGGUGACUCACUAAAACACCGAGCUUUCUGAUCUGAA